GAUGAAGAACGUAGCGAAAUGCGAUAAGUAAUGUGAAUUGCAGAAUUCAGUGAAUCAUCGAAUCUUUGAACGCACAUUGCGCCCCUUGGUAUUCCGGGGGGCAUGCCUGUUCGAGCGUCAUUAUCACCCCUCAAGCUCAGCUUGGUGUUGGGGCCUGCCGUCAAGGCAGCCCUUAAAAUCAGUGGCGGCGCCAUCUGGCUCUAAGCGUAGUAAUACUUCUCGCUACAGGGUCACGGUGGUGUCUUGCCAGAACCCCUCAUUUUUUAUGAUUGACCUCGGAUCAGGUAGGGAUACCCGCUGAACUUAAGCAUAUCAAUAAGCGGAGGA
rnacentral:misc_RNA from 1 species